UUAAGGUAAAGCCUAAAUGUUUUUUAAACAAAGAUUUGACAAACUGUUUCUGUACUCGUUUCAUUUACAUUAAGAUGGUUAAAUGCAGCAUUUUCUUCUGCAUAGUACAGUUUCAAAGCUGUAUUAAGUCAAUGUUCAGUUAUAAAAUUUUGAA